AGCCUCAUCGUCUAGUUGGUUUAGGACGACGCCCCCUCAAGGCGUAGACAAGGGUUCAAAUCCCUUUGGGGCUA
rnacentral:tRNA from 1 species